UGGCUGAGUGGUUAAGCGCUCGGUUUCUAAACCUGAGGUCCUGGGUUCGAAUCUCAG
rnacentral:tRNA from 1 species